AACAACAACAGCAGCACGACGCUCCCGUACACGUAUCAGCAGCUUUUUGCAGCUUCGCUUACAAAUCACAAACUGUAAUCAGGGAAGCCGUUUCAAUAAUAUGUGUAGACACACAGAGAGUGUUACAACCUUACACCAUCAAGCUAAUUACAUGUCUCUCUGUUCACCCCCAGAGGUCAUCCACCUCAUGGCCUGUUGGGCAACAAGCUGUUCAGCUAAUCAGCAGAGAGCCUCUUCUCUCCAGGGAGAGGCAUGAAGAGAACACCACGGUGACAUCACAACAAAUAGCAGCCGCUGUGAUGUCACAAUGGAGGCAUCAUAAAUCUGUUUGUGACCACAUCUGCUCCACCGUGGAGGUCUCCUGAUAAGACUGGCUGUGAGGGUCGCAGGGGGUGGAGUCUGUCCCAGCUGCCUCAAGGUGAAGGCAGGGUUCACCUGGACAGGUCUCCCUGCAUGUACAGUCAAACCUCUACAGAUGAUCCAGAAUGCAGCAGCACGUCUGGUCUUCAACCAGCCCAAAAGAGCUCAUGUCACUCCCCUGUUCAUCUCCCUUCACUGGCUUCCAGUUGCAGCCAGAAUCAAAUUCAAAACUCUCCUCCUGGCUUACAAAACAUUUACAAGAACGGCCCCAGCCUACCUGGAUUCCUUGAUCCAGGUCUACUCCCCUUCACGCCCACUUCGCUCUGCAUGUGAGAGACGCCUGGUGCUUCCAGCCCAGAAUGGCUCCAAAUCUCUAACCAGACUCUUCUCCUCUGUUGUUCCCAAAUGGUGGAGCAAACUACCAAUCUCUGUGCGUUCUGCUGAGUCCCUUUCUACUUUUAAGAGACAAUUGAAGACUCAAUUGUUCAGAGAACACCUAGGCACUUAAUCUGACUCCACCUUAGGGGUAGAAUAAGUCAGGGGGUCCAAAACCCAGCACUUAUUUAGCACUGACAAAGUUUGAAAAAAAGGGGGGGGGAGGGUAGCAAUUCUUCUGCAACUUGAUGGCAACACCUUUGACCAAUCACACUUGAAGCACUUUUUGCACUUACUACAGGUUUUUCCUUAUGUCUGAAUUCUUGCUUGUGUUGUACGUCGCUUUGGACAAAAGCGUCUGCUAAAUGAAAGGUUGUUGCUAGAGAUACGGACCCGUACCCGUAGUCUGUGGACUACGGAUACGGCACUUGCCAUUUGCCAAUCAGAUACGCGAGAUCUGGUUGCUUACCUUUCAACAGUUUGCAGUGGUUAGCAGCUUCUUGACUCGCGAGACUCGCGUACGGGUCCGUAUCUGUCUGGCAAACGGAAAGUGCCGUAUCCGUAGGCCACAGACUACGGAUACGGGUCCGUAUCUGUAGACACUACCAAAUGAAAUUGUAGAAUUGUAGAAUUGUAGUAAGGUUUAUAAGUCUGAACAGUGAAAACUACUUCCAGUGACCAGAUACACUGCAUGCUCAUAGAGUGUAUGUGAAUGUUGUAUCCCCCACCCUCAGUCUGUUUUCCUGACUUUUAAUGCACUUUUCAACUUUAAAAUCAUCUUUAUACUCUUGACUUCUGAUCUACCUUUAGAUCUUAUUUGUAUGCUUUUGAUGUAUGAUUUUAAAGUCUACUUUUAAAUCAUCUUUCUAAUUAAUUUUCUGAAUGUAUUUUUUGCCAUUGUAAAGCACCUUGAAUUCUCUUUUGUAUGAAUUAUGCUGUAUAAAUAAACUUGCUUUGCCUUGGAACUACCUCAGUUUGUACCUUUCGACUAACAGUGACAUUUUUGUCAACUUAUUCUUUGACAAACAGAUGACAAAAACCCUUCCAAAGUAGAGAAAGGACCAGCUCAUGGAUCCAUAAGACACCACAGAUUUGAUCCAUUAUUUAUGUACAAGCUCUAAUGUUUGCUGCUGUCUGUUUGCAUGAAAUUUAUAAGGACGAUUUGUGGGACAUGGAAUAGAGAAUGACCCCAAAUCACCCAGAAAUUAGAUGAACAUUAAAAGUUCGUGUACGUAAUGAGCAGAAAAUGUUCAUUAUCCUGCUCAGAGAGCAGAACUGCUGUUAGCUUCAGUGAUCUACUCAGAGUGUUGGAGUUUUAAAAAGGGGUGGACGGUCUCACGCUGAAACUGCAGGAAGAAAAGCCUGUAAGACGGCUCACUGUGUGUUCAUGGCAGCUUAAUGAAUGACGCUAACAAUCAUCAUGCUCGGUGUUCAACGUGUGUGGAAGGAGUCGCAGUGUUGGCCGAUGACUGCUGCUUGGAAAACAUAACCUGUUCUUCUGCUUUUAAUCUUCCACAGGAAAAAAAAACUGUUUGCAGGGUCUCUUUUUACGACGCCGUGUGGCUGAUCAAUAAAACUGAUUAACUUGUGUAUUGACACAGUUUGUCAGGAGUGAAGCUUAAUGUGCCGACGCCUUUCCCCUCUGAGCCACUCUGUUUGAUUUUUGUAACCAAUAUGAUGCAAACCGAUAACUGGAGACAGCAUCUGAGAAGAAAUAUCAAUAAAAACUGAAGUGUGAAACCUGCCAAAAAUGAUGAACUUCAGUGUGAGUAUCUACAUUCGUAUGGUGUCUUUUAACCUUAGCUGGGUUUGACAAAGCUCUUACAACAUGCUUCUCAUUCACACGUGUGUUUUUGAAGCUCUGUGUUACUCAGACUGUACAUAAAGAUGGACGUAGCAUCUGGCUCCAGAAUUGAAGCCCACCCAGAAGUGUCAAAAACUUGCAAUAUCACGCCGUCCACUAGGGUUGGCUCCAAAAAGCUUUUUCUCCAUAGACCCCAAUUCAUUUUUGGAAAAAAUAAAAUGUGAUAGACUGA